rnacentral:pre_miRNA from 2 species
GCAAAUUUUAUGACAAUGGUAGAGAGCACGCUAGUAGACAGCCUUGCCAUUUGCACGAAUGCUGACAGGUGUGCUCUCUCUCAUUGUCAAGCAAAUUUGUA